CGUCGCCCGUUGCAUCACCGUCAAGGCGGUAAUGCCUGUGCGAAUUUAAUCUGGUCGUGCCGCUGGCCCACAAGGUCACCGCAAUGCGCACCACGGAUACCGCCGGAUGUUUCCGGAACCGGUCCGGCGCAGUUUCCACGCUGAUCGGCAAAUGCCUUCGGCGAGGCGACGUAGAUAGCACGAUGAAACG
rnacentral:sRNA from 17 species